rnacentral:rRNA from 1 species
GACGAACGCUGGCGGCGUGCUUAACACAUGCAAGUCGAACGGAAAGGCCUCUUUCGGGGGGUACUCGAGUGGCGAACGGGUGAGUAACACGUGAGUAACCUGCCCUUGACUUUGGGAUAACUUCAGGAAACCGGGGCUAAUACCGGAUAGGAGCUCCUGCUGCAUGGUGGGGGUUGGAAAGUUUCGGCGGUUGGGGAUGGACUCGCGGCUUAUCAGCUUGUUGGUGGGGUAGUGGCUUACCAAGGCUUUGACGGGUAGCCGGCCUGAGAGGGUGACCGGCCACAUUGGGACUGAGAUACGGCCCAGACUCCUACGGGAGGCAGCAGUGGGGAAUAUUGCACAAUGGGUGGAAGCCUGAUGCAGCAACGCCGUGUGCGGGAUGACGGCCUUCGGGUUGCAAACCGCUUUCGCUCAUGACGAAGCUUUGUGUGACGGUAGUGGGUAAAGAAGCACCGGCUAACUACGUG